rnacentral:rRNA from 1 species
UAGGGAAUCUUCCGCAAUGGACGCAAGUCUGACGGAGCAACGCCGCGUGAGUGAAGAAGGAUUUCGGUUCGUAAAACUCUGUUGUUAGAGAAGAACAGCGCAUAGAGUAACUGUUAUGCGUGUGACGGUAUCUAACCAGAAAGCCACGGCUAACUACGUGCCAGCAGCCGCGGUAAUACGUAGGUGGCAAGCGUUGUCCGGAUUUAUUGGGCGUAAAGCGAGCGCAGGCGGUCAAUUAAGUCUGAUGUGAAAGCCCCCGGCUCAACCGGGGAGGGUCAUUGGAAACUGGGUGACUUGAGUGCAGAAGAGGAGAGUGCAAUUCCAUGUGUAGCGGUGAAAUGCGUAGAUAUAUGGAGGAACACCAGUGGCGAAGGCGACUCUCUGGUCUGUAACUGACGCUGAGGUUCGAAAGCGUGGGUAGCAAACAGG